rnacentral:tRNA from 1 species
AUUAUUUUGGCAGAUUAGUGUGAUUAAUUUAGAAUUAAUUAAAGUAAUUUAUUUACAGAUAAUA